UUGCAGUGAUCAAAGCCAAUUUUUUAAUGACAGAAGACUGGGGAAGAACAAACACAUUUAUUUUACAUAUAAAGGUUUUCCUGUAGUAAGUCAAUCAACAAUGUAUUCUAGGACACGACGAUAUAUUUGAAUUUAAAUAUAUUAAUUUCAUCUAUCAAAGUGAAAAUAAUCUGACAAUUCCAACCAAAAUCUUUGUAGAAUUUUACUAUAAAAAAGGGUCAACAUCUCUCUCUCUCUCACUUUUGAGCAGAGCAAAGAUCUCAAAUUGUUAACGUAGCCGAAUUAAAACUAGCUGUUGGCGAUGACGUCACGGCAAUCUCUUCAACUGCCGUGUGUUUUCAGGCGGCAAAAAAGUGUUGUCAGGCGGCUAGUUUUUACCUCAGAGUUGACAGGAAUGUUAAAAAUGAACAAUGGUCCGGUAUUUCACUUGAGAACCUGAACGCUACAACCCAAAAACACUUCGGGACCCUGACAUUUCUAAGAUGGGUGACACUUCUUCAGGUGCGAAGCGAGUAAAUGACAGUUGGAGGUAGGCGGCGUUUGGAGACUCAUCUCGCAUGAUGACAGAUCAGGAGAUUUUAAACAGAUCAAAUUCACCGUAACUCCAACCUCAAGUAUCGACUAUCACGCAUUUAAGACCCAUUCCGGGCCUGACGCGGUGCAUGUCGGAUGAAGUAUUCAUAGAUUCUGCGGUAGUCUGUGAGGGAGGGAAAGCCCACACUGCUCUGGCAGAGAGAAACAUCUUGCAUAACACCUUGUCCUAAUGCAGAGAUAUUCACUAGUUAAGAAGAUGCAUCAGAUUGAGGAUGAGCAUUGCAGUUACCAUGGUGAUCCAGUCGGGCGCACGUUUUUCCACCCAUCUCUUGCCGUAGUGUGGAGGCAGGACUGUCCGGUAUACUUGAGGGAACACGGGGAGCAAGUCAACACCUGCAGAAGGCUGGAAACCCAACAAACGAGGUCUGGAUGGCAAAUCCCACUGGUAAAGACACACACAAAAGCGAGUCAUCAGCUGCAGAAAGAUUUGGAAAUUGACUUCUGUUUGUUACUCAACACUCCACGACUGGUAAAGACUGUGAAAUGAGCUAAAACGCUGUAUCGAUUAUUCAAAGAUGGACGAAAAAGGAGUGCCAAACAUACACACCGAACCCACCUUGGAUACUUUCCAAGCUAAAGGUUCGUUGAUGGCUCUUUGCAGAACAUCCAGUGAAAAAUGCUUUUGUUAUGAAGAACAUUAUUUGUCUGGUCUUGAGUAUAUGGUUUUUGGAGAUUAAAGUUUGUUUUUUAA